rnacentral:snRNA from 1 species
GCAAACUAAAUAUUGAACUACAGAAUUGUAGGGCUUUACCCCGAAGGGAACCCUUCCAGAAAUUCUCGAAGGCCCAAGACAAGCUUAGGCCUAGGAGGGGGUUUGGAAAUAGUUUUCAACCAGCAAUAGACGCGCCUCGGUUAAGACCUCAUUAGCUGCGUCAUUGCCCCAAGCGCAAAGAUACUU